ensembl:lncRNA
CCUUCAGCCCAGAGCGCGCGCGUCCCCCGGGCGCCCAUUCAUUCGCGCGCAGGGCCGGCCCCGCGCUCCAGCCGCCGCCGGCUGACCCACCCGGCUACUGCGCACUGGGAGAGGAGCGCGCCGGGUGGGAAGCGGCGCGGGCCUUCCUCCCGCGCCCGGGAACCCGGCGAGACAGACGCCCGCGGCGGAAUGGCGACUGGCCAGAGCCAGCCUCGGCUCCCACCGCUAGAUGACCGAACGCCCGGCAGCUGCCCCCGCGCGGCCCUGGUCGGUCCUGCCUACCCACACCCACCCCCGGACCGAGUGGCCCUGAGUCACCGACUGGAGACGCGCGACCCCCGACCUGGGCCAGCGCCGCGGAGCUGCAGUUCCGGGCUGCGCUUUGGCGCGGGAUUCAAGGAAUGGAUUCCAGCAGCAUCAUAGAAUCAAAGCAACACCUAAGGAAUUCACUGUUUCUUCACGUACUUUGACCUUUGAAAACAAGAGUCAUCAUAAUAGCUACAGUUUACUCAGUACCUACCAGAUGCCAGUCACUGUGCCACCACUUCACCUAAACUGUCUCUAAAGCCCAUACAACCCUGAGCUAAGGAUGAUCAUAUCCCCAACUGCAGACGAUGACACUGAAGCCCAAAGGCUACUCAACUUGCCUGGAAUUCUACAGCAAAUAAGUGGUGAAGCUCAGUUUAAGUCCCGUGCCAUUUUCAACGCUUGUGUCUGGGUAUGAGUGCAGGGCUUCUGACGCCACUGGGAAAUCUGCAGUGUGGUCUGAAUUUCUGUAUGCAGGAGCCUCACUUCCCCUGCCCACAGUUCUCCGUUUUCUCAUCCAUAAAAGGAGGGAUACGAGAUGUCCUGGGGGAAGCGGGGGUCCCACCAACUGUGCCACUUAGAACUUGCAUUUCCUCCCUUUCAGGAUUUCUCUUAGGCACAGGAUUUCUCUUAGGCACAUUGUUUUAAAGCUGUCAAAGCCAGCACUCAGGGUAAGCUGGGCAAAGUUCCACAAGCCCCUGGGGCUCCCAGAUGCCCCAGGGAGCUCUCCGCCUCCGCCUCCGCCUCCGUGCCUUUGGUGUGGGGGUUGUAGAGGAGUGGAUAACCGAGGGGGAAAGGGUACAGCUCAGUGUAAGGCCCUGGCUCUGGGGCUGGACAACCUGAACUUGAAUGCUGAUCCUGUCACAAAUUAAGAGAGUGGCUUAGGCAAAUUCUUAACCUCAGUUUCCUCAACUGCAAAAUGGGGCACUGACAGCUCUCACCUCACAACUUUGUUGGGAAAGAUAGGAUGAAAUAAAGUCAUAUAAAAUCCACUGCCUAGUAAGCACCCCAGUCCCCUGGGGCUCUUUCCCGCAGGCUGUUGCUGGCUGCUGGAGGUGAAAGGGGCCUCCUGAAAGGGAUUGCUCACUAUUGCUGCCAAGAACAGAUCUGACGUGAGCCUCUUUGGCCAUGGCUAAUGUCCAACAUUCAUAGACUGUCCUGCCCGUGGGUGGUGGCUGCCUCUUCCAGAGCCUCUGCUGAGCAGGCUGGAGGCAAGGCAGGGGAAAGGCACAGAGCAGGGCCCCAGCCUCCCAUUCAUUACCUUUGAGAUGCUGGGCCAGCUCAGAAGCUCUUGCUCUGUCUGCAGCAGUAGGGCCCAGAAGGUAGGGAAGGGACCUGACUGGAUACCCUCACGGGCCCAUAUCUGCUCUAAGCAGGAAAGAAGGCAGGGAUGGUGGACAGAAUGUAUGUUACCAUGCAACAGGCAAUGUGCUGACACAGGAUCUCAGAAUACUCACAACGACCCUGUGAAGAAGGCGCAAUCAUCCCCUUUCCACAGGGGAGGAUACUGAUGCCCACGGAGGUGCCAGCAUAAAGUGGAGCAUGCGCUGCCCACUGCCAGCUGAGCGCACUCAAUGCACCAAUCGUCUCUAAGGAAAAGAUAUUUAUAAGGUGAGUUUCUACAAACCAUUAUAUAUGGAGGAAAGGACUGAGCUCUUUGAAAGGAACUUGGCAGCUUUCUUAUUGUCAAUCUUCCUCCUCCUAUUUAUCUGAUAACCGUGGUUUAUUAGUUAUUAGUUUCUGCCACUGGGGUAUGUGUUCCAAGAGGACUGGGGUUCUUGUAUAUUUUGUUUACCACUGUUUUCCCGGUGCUUAUAGUAGUGGCAAAUAGUACAUGCCUGUUAGUGUGCAG